AUCCUUCGCCAGGGGAACUUCCUGACCCAGGAAUUGAACCAGGGUCUCUUGCACUGCAGGCGGAUUCUUUACCAGCUGAGCUACCCAGGAAGCUGUAAGAGCUUUACAUUUUAAAGAUGUAUUUCCCAAGGUUAUGGGCCUUAGCCUCUCACCAUCGAGCCCACACUCUAGCACUCAGAUGGUGCGGCAUCCGAUACAUGUUCUGGAUGCCCAGGCCCUUCCUUGGGAGCUGGGGAGUGAGGAUGGGCAGUUGGGGCUGUCCCUGGCCAGCAGCUCAGGGCGUUCCUUGUGUAUGAGGGCGGCAGGGCUACAGACUUUUCUUCAUUUUAGUCUUGACACAGUGUGGGAUUUGAGAUACAUUUUUGCUGCUUGAUGAUGAUGGCAGAUACCUCAUUCCUCUUGUCCAUUCUCCGUCCUGGGAGAGGUGCCAGCUACCCAGGACAGCUUGUGGAGCCUGCCGCCGGAUGGGACCUCUCCUCCCCUGGUGUCUCCAGUCUGACCCCGGAUGGAGAGACUUCUCCGGGAAGCUACCCGUAACUUCCAGAACUGGGUUACGUGUCCCAUGACGCUGCCACGAAGGAGUCUCGUUAAGUUCCAGGGUCAGGAUAUAAAGUCAUGCCUGGGAUACAAAUGGAGCGUGAUAAAAAUUCCUCUCUGAAACCCUGAGGAAGGUACCUUGCUGAAGACCCUUAUCGCGAGGCCCGGUGCCGCUGCUGCCUGCCCAUGUGGGAGCAUGUCACAGCUCUCUUUGGGUGAGCCCCAGGAGAAGUCAUGGACCUGCAAUUCAGGCUGUGUUGUGCAAACAGCAGGUGUUAGACUCACACUCAGGCGAGCCGCUCACUUUUGAAGAGGCCCAGGGACCCGAGACAGGCCACAGGAGUAGCAGGGGCUUGAGCUCGCCUCAAGCCCUCCUGCGUGGCUGCUCAGGGGAUGGAGGACAGGUGUUGUUCAGUCGCCAAGUCGUGUCUGACUCUCUGUGACUCCAUGGACUGCAGCACACUAGGCCUCCCUGUCCCUCACCGUCUCCUGGAGUUUGCCAAAGUUCAUGUCCAUUGAAUUGGUGAUGCUGUCCAACCAUCUCAUCCUCUGUGACCCAAAUAACUUCAAAUUGCUUUCCCCAUCUUUUUUUUUUUUUCCCUCCCUAACUUUUUCAGACAAAUACCAUUGUGUUUGCUUAAGUGAAAUACGCAUGGAAUACCAGAUUUCUGUCCCCUCCCCGCCCCAAGCCAGCACACCUGUACACUGCAUCACAGUUUCCUCUUACUGUUUGUCUGUGCUAGACUGAGCCCCCUGAGAGCAGGGCCACGUCCGGCUUGUUCAUGGGGGUCCCCCAUCCGGGUGCCAUGCUUGGUGCCUGGCAGGCCCCCCCGACACAAGGCUGACUGUGUAAAUCCCCUGCUUUACAAGGGACAGCUCCGUUCUCUGAAGGCCGGGCACCGUCUUACAGGCCAGUCCUCACGGUUCUGCCUUGCACACGCAACACGUGAUGCUUUGUUUGCCCUGCUAGCAGCCUCUGAUGAGCAGGCGUCUUCGUGUUCUGAUCUCUGUUCCUCCUACCAGGUCACUCCAGAGUGAUGCCUAAAGUGUUUGGGAAAAUGAAUAAAUUAUGGAAAC